AGCGCAGGCGGUUUUUUAAGUCUGAUGUGAAAGCCUUCGGCUUAACCGNCAGAAGUGCAU
rnacentral:rRNA from 1 species